rnacentral:lncRNA from 1 species
UCUAAAUAGGCAUUAGAGAUGCCACACGCCUGAUGUUUAUUGGGUAUUAAAAUUAUCAUUCAUCAUAUGACCAUCUUGCUAUCUUCUUCAGAUCAAUGGUCAGGUUGGCUAAGCCACACUUGAACCUAGGCAUUUGUUUGCUUGAUGCACUUAAUAUAAUCAUAUUAAUGGUUGGACCUAACCAAAUUUUUUAGUAGAGGCAUCACACGCUUGCUGAAGAGAUACCUAGGAUAAAAUCUGGUUGCUAAAAAUUAUUUGAAGAAAUAAUUGAUUAGGAACCUACCCA